rnacentral:rRNA from 1 species
UACGGAGGAUGCGAGCGUUAUCCGGAAUUAUUGGGUUUAAAGGGUGCGUAGGCGGCCAUUUAAGUCAGCGGUGAAAUUUUGCAGCUUAACUGUAACAGUGCCGUUGAUACUGUUUGGCUAGGAUUUGGUUGUAGUGUGCGGAAUGUGUGGUGUAGCGGUGAAAUGCUUAGAUAUCACACAGAACACCGAUUGCGAAGGCAGCACACUAAGUCAUUAUUGACGCUGAGGCACGAAAGUCUGGGGAUCAAACAGGAUUAGA